CACAAAUGAAUAAAAGAAAAUCGCUAUCCUUCAAGGGAUCUAUAAAAAUAUCCCAUAACUACAGCUUCCACGACCUUUGCAAGGCCCCAAAAGUUUUAAAUAAGAGUUUUCUAACAACAAUUGGGAAAAAGUAGAGAAAAAGCUGAUCCACAAAUAAUCUUUCGAUAUAAGGUGGUCGAACAGACUAAUUCUGGCUUACCA
rnacentral:misc_RNA from 1 species